rnacentral:ncRNA from 1 species
CACCGCUCGUCACACUAUAGGAGCUGGCCAUGUUUGAAGUCAUUACCCUUAACCGUAAGGAGGGGGAUGCCUAAGGCUAGGCUUGCGACUGGAGUGAAGUCGUAACAAGGUAGCCGUACUGGAAGGUGCGGCUG